CCUGGCGGCAGUAGCGCGGUGGUCCCACCUGACCCCAUGCCGAACUCAGAAGUGAAACGCCGUAGCGCCGAUGGUAGUGUGGGGUCUCCCCAUGCG
rnacentral:rRNA from 1 species